rnacentral:lncRNA from 1 species
CACUGUCCUAACACUUGCUAGUUGUCACCAGAAGUGAAGCUAGCCAGGCCUCUUCUGCUCAGCCGGAAGGGAGCAAGUGUUUAUGGAGCACUGGCUGUGUGCUCAGCACCUUCCUGUGUAUUAUGUCAGUUACUCUUGCUGACCAGCCUGUGACUGAGGUGGCUGCAAUGAUACCUACCUCGCAGGACAGUCACCAGGAGCAAUGAACAUGAAGCCCCAGCUCCAGCCGUGCAUCUCAGGGGCUCAGCAAACACUGGCUCCUUGUCCUGAGGGAGUCAUGGUGGCAGCUGGGUGGGGGGCUGGGGCCACAGCAGGCAGGGCAACAUCUGUGGAUGAGGAGCUCUCACCCUCCACCCGAUCUCCAGCAGGUGCAUUCACCUGUGCUCUCCAACAGCCAUGCGUACCCAGACAGUGACAGGCGGUGUUUGGGAUGUAAAGUUGGUGCUGCCUCCAGGGAACUCACACACAGCCAUCUAUUCCCAUGGCGGUGGCUCCCACAGAGAGGCCCAGGGACACCAGGACCUGGUUUGUAGGCAUU